GGUCUAAUAGCAUAACGGUUAGUGUGCCGGACUGUCUCUCCGGUUAUCAGGGUUCGAUUCCCUGUUAGAUCG
rnacentral:tRNA from 1 species